AGCGAACGUUGGCGGCGCGCUUAACACAUGCAAGUCGAACGCGAAAGAUCUUCGGAUCGAGUAGAGUGGCGCACGGGUGAGUAACACGUGACUAACCUACCUUCUGGUCUGGGAUAACAUGCCGAAAGGCGUGCUAAUACUGGAUGAGACCACGGUCCCCGCGGGGACUGCGAGAAAAGUGGGGGAGCGAAAGCGCCUCGCGCCGGAAGAUGGGGUCGCGGCCUAUCAGCUAGUUGGCGGGGUAACAGCCCACCAAGGCGAUGACGGGUAGCUGGUCUGAGAGGAUGAUCAGCCACACUGGAACUGAGACACGGUCCAGACUCCUACGGGAGGCAGCAGUGGGGAAUUUUGGACAAUGGGCGAAAGCCUGAUCCAGCGACGCCGCGUGUGCGAUGAAGGCCUUUGGGUCGUAAAGCACUGUCGACAGGGACGAAAACUCGCCGGAUAACACCCGGCGGGCUUGACUGUACCUGUGGAGGAAGCACCGGCUAACUCU
rnacentral:rRNA from 1 species